GCUGCUGAGAGCACUAAAGGCUCACAUAAAUCUGUCCUGGGAGAAGCGAUCAGAGGACACGCUCUCUGGUGGGCACUGGGAAAACGGACAUUUGUUACCAUUGGGAUAGUUGCCGUUGCUUACGGGAACAAAGGACAAACUCAUCUAAUUUGUGCUCUGGAACAAGACUAUUUGCUGGAGAGUCAGCUAGUCAUGCAGUUUCUUCUACUAGACCACCAGACUGUCACCAACGCAAAGAGUUAAGCCUGCAAAUGGAUAAACCAAACAGAGGAACAGAUCAUUUCAAAUGUGACCAUCGUCAUCUUCAUGUGGAGGAAUCACUUUUCUUUGAGUAUGACUUGCAUUUUCUGCAUCUGCGUCCUUGCAAUUCAGACACUAUAAUUUCUGAUAACAUCAUCACAGGGUCUGUAAAAGUAAAAAGAUUGAAUCAGUGGGUUUAAGUGGUGUUUUUGAAUGUAAUAUGUAUUAUUAUUUGCAUAGAAAUGCAUUAGAAUUUCUGUUGUCAUUUUAACUUUUAAAGCUUGGACUAAAUCCUCAUCAAGCUUGACAUGAUUGUAUGUUUUUAUCCUCUUGUUUGACCUCACUACAGCACUCUGUGUAACAUCGACUAAACAAUACUCAUUUAUAUAAAAAAAUUUACAAUUGCAAAUUGAGGGGAAAAAAAUCAUUUAAAAAAAGGAUGUUAAUGUUGUACAUUCUAUAACAACAAUUUAUUAUUUCUCCCAAAACACCGGACAGUGACAUCAUGCAGUAGGCUGAGCUUGUUUGAAUUUAGAUACAUAAACUAAUAAAUAAAGUUAUUUUAAGCACAUCUUUGGAAAAAUUAUUUAUGAUGCACUUCAAAUGAUACAAUGUUGAAAUGCAUGUGGAAAAUACAGAUAAAUAGUAGCCUAUUGCAAUUAAUAUAUUAUGUAUUUAAAAGUGGAAUUAAAAUGUGUUUAAUUUGUAUUGCAAAACUAAU